AUAUGUCUGGUGAUGUCGCUGGCUAGGCCAGUCAGAAAAACCCAAAUUCCAGUGACGAGAUCCAUUUCUCUGGUCCAACAUUCUGUGAUUAUAUGAACUAGCCAUCUGAACAUCAUAGGGAGACACAAAGGUACCAAGUUUCUUUGACUUGGUCCUGCAAAGUUU
rnacentral:sRNA from 1 species